UUCCGCAAUGGGCGAAAGCCUGACGGAGCAACGCCGCGUGAGUGAUGAAGGUCUUCGGAUCGUAAAACUCUGUUAUUAGGGAAGAACAAAUGUGUAAGUAACUAUGCACGUCUUGACGGUACCUAAUCAGAAAGCCACGGCUAACUACGUGCCAGCAGCCGCGGUAAUACGUAGGUGGCAAGCGUUAUCCGGAAUUAUUGGGCGUAAAGCGCGCGUAGGCGGUUUUUUAAGUCUGAUGUGAAAGCCCACGGCUCAACCGUGGAGGGUCAUUGGAAACUGGAAAACUUGAGUGCAGAAGAGGAAAGUGGAAUUCCAUGUGUAGCGGUGAAAUGCGCAGAGAUAUGGAGGAACACCAGUGGCGAAGGCGACUUUCUGGUCUGUAACUGACGCUGAUGUGCGAAAGCGUGGGGAUCAAACAGGAUUAGAUACCCUGGUAGUCCACGCCGUAAACGAUGAGUGCUAAGUGUUAAGGGGUUUCCGCCCCUUAGUGCUGCAGCUAACGCAUUAAGCACUCCGCCUGGGGAGUACGACCGCAAGGUUGAAACUCAAAGGAAUUGACGGGGACCCGCACAAGCGGUGGAGCAUGGUGGUUUAAUUCGAAGCAACGCGAAGAACCUUACCAAAUCUUGACAUCCUCUGACCCUCUAGAAGAUAGAGUUUUCCCCUUCGGGGGACAGAGUGACAGGUGGUGGCAUGGUUGUCGUCAGCUCGUGUCGUGAGAAGUUUGGGGUUAAGUCCCGCAACGAGCGCAACCCUUAAGCUUAGUUGCCAUCAUUAAGUUGGGCACUCUAAUUUGACUGCCG
rnacentral:rRNA from 1 species